GGGGAGGUGCCCGAGUGGUCAAAGGGAGCGGACUGUAAAUCCGUCGGCUACGCCUACGAAGGUUCAAGUCCUUCCCUCCCCACCA
rnacentral:tRNA from 1 species